rnacentral:lncRNA from 1 species
AAAAUUGAGUUAAAGUUUAACCAACCCUACCACCCGUCCAAGCUGACUUUAGAACUCCCCAAAUUAAUUUCAAACAAAUUCACCCUAGCCAUCUCGUCAUUCACUUUCCCCAAUUCUCUAAACCCACCUUCCCCUUCUGCUGCUGACAGUAGAGUCUUCUUGCUGCCGGCGUUGCUCACUUUCCCCAAAUCUCCUUUCUUGUGCGGAGAGCAGAGGCUUGUUGCUGCCUCUUCAAGCUACCCGGGUUCCCCAUGUUUUGCCGACCGUACAGUGUUGUUGCUGCCGAUCUCCGAGCGUAGAGUCAAGCUACCUGGGUUCCCCAAAUCUCGCUUGUUGUGCCGAGAGCAUUUGGUUGUUGCUGCCUCUUCAAGCUACCUGGGUUCCCCUUGUUUUGCCGUCUGUACAGUGUUGUUGCUGCCAAUCUCCGAGCGUAGAGUCAAGCUACCUGGGUUCCCCAAAUCUCCCUUGUUGUGCCGAGAGCAUUUGGUUGUUGCUGCCUCUUCAAGCUACCUGGGUUCCCCUUGUUUUGCCGACCGUAGAGUCAAGGUACCUGGGUUCCCCAAAUCUCCCUUGUUGUGCCGAGAGCCGAGGGUUGUUGCUGCCAAUCUCCAUCGCUUGCUCAGUUUCCCGAAAUCUCUGUACUUUGCAUCCACGUCUUGUGCCGAGAGCUGAGCCGAUUUGCCGCAAAUCUUGGACCGGAUCUUUGGUGAGUUAUUGCUGCGCUUUUCUGGGAUUUUUUGUACCACUUGAAACUCGGUAAAUGCAAUGGCUUGAUUGCUGCUGGCUGGUUCUAGAAUUUUGCUUUUGUACUGUUAUGCAAAUUUUUACACUGCAACAUGCUUUCUUUAGAUGUUUCACACUCCUCUUUGGCAUCAAGGUAAAGUAUAUGCUAAUAUUAAAUAUAUAUUUGGUGGGAAUGUACGACAAUGUGGGAAGGAAAAAGUUGAAGUAAGAACU